rnacentral:rRNA from 1 species
GACGAACGCUGGCGGCGUGGAUUAGGCAUGCAAGUCGAACGGUAUCAUCCUUUCGGGGGUGAGAGAGUGGCGAACUGGUGAGUAACACGUAGGUUAUCUACCCUCAAGACGGGGACAACCCAGGGAAACUUGGGCUAAUACCGGAUGUGAGCAACUUUUAGUUGUUUGAAAGGUGGCGUAAGCUGUCGCUUGGGGAUGAGCCUGCGUCCUAUUAGUUAGUUGGUGAGGUAACGGCUCACCUAGGCAAUGAUAGGUAGGCGGCCUUAACGGGUGGUCGCCCACACUGGGAUUGAGAUACGGCCCAGACUCCUACGGGAGGCAGCAGUCGAGAAUAGUCUACAAUGGCCGGAAGGCUGAUAGUGCGACGCCGCGUGAACGAGGGAGCCCUUCGGGGUGUAAAGUUCUUUUCUAUACGAGCAGUGCUAUAUAUAUGGAUAGUAUAUAUAGAGGGAUAGUAGUAUAGGAAUAAAGCAACGGCUAACUCCGUGCCAGCAGCCGCGGUAAU